AAUGGACGCUGGCGGCAUGCCUAACACAUGCAAGUCGAACGAAGUCUUCGGACUUAGUGGCGCACGGGUGCGUAACGCGUGGGAAUCUGCCCUUGGGUGCGGAAUAACUUCUCGAAAGGGAUGCUAAUACCGCAUAAUGUCGUAAGACCAAAGAUUUAUCGCCCAAGGAUGAGCCCGCGUAAGAUUAGCUAGUUGGUGGGGUAAAAGCCUACCAAGGCGACGAUCUUUAGCUGGUCUGAGAGGAUGAUCAGCCACACUGGGACUGAGACACGGCCCAGACUCCUACGGGAGGCAGCAGUGGGGAAUAUUGGACAAUGGGCGAAAGCCUGAUCCAGCAAUGCCGCGUGAGUGAUGAAGGCCCUAGGGUUGUAAAGCUCUUUUACCAGGGAUGAUAAUGACAGUACCUGGAGAAUAAGCUCCGGCUAAACUCCGUGCCAGUAGCCGCGGUAAU
rnacentral:rRNA from 1 species